UACGGAGGAGGCAAGCGUUAUCCGGAAUUAUUGGGCGUAAAGCGUCCGUAGGUGGCUAUUCAAGUCUGCGGUCAAAGACUGGGGCUUAACCCUGGAAAGGCCGUGGAAACUGAAGAGCUAGAGUGCAGUAGGGGUAGAGGGAAUUCCCGGUGUAGCGGUGAAAUGCGUAGAGCUCGGGAAGAACAUCGGUGGCGAAAGCGCUCUGCUGGACUGCAACUGACACUCAGGGACGAAAGCGAGGGGAGCGAAUGGG
rnacentral:rRNA from 1 species